rnacentral:rRNA from 1 species
CAGUCGCCGCGGUAAUACGUAGGGUGCAAGCGUUAAUCAGAAUUACUGGGCGUAAAGCGUGCGCAGGCGGUUUGUUAAGACAGAUGUGAAAUCCCCGGGCUCAACCUGGGAACUGCAUUUGUGACUGGCAAGCUAGAGUGUGGCAGAGGGGGGUGGAAUUCCGCGUGUAGCAGUGAAAUGCGUAGAUAUGCGGAGGAACACCGAUGGCGAAGGCAGCCCCCUGGGCCAACACUGACGCUCAUGCACGAAAGCGUGGGGAGCAAACAGGAUUAGAUACCCCAGUAGUCCCUGUCUCUUAUAC